rnacentral:rRNA from 1 species
CCUACGGGAGGCAGCAGUGGGGAAUAUUGCACAAUGGGGGAAACCCUGAUGCAGCGACGCCGCGUGGACGAUGAAGUAUUUCGGUACGUAAAGUCCUGUCAGCAGGGAAGAAAACGACAGUACCUGACCAAGAAGCCCCGGCUAACUACGUGCCAGCAGCCGCGGUAAUACGUAGGGGGCGAGCGUUAUCCGGAUUCACUGGGCGUAAAGGGAGCGCAGGCGGCACGGCAAGUCCGGUGUGAAAGCCCGGGGCCCAACCCCGGGACUGCACUGGAAACUGCCGGGCUGGAGUGCCGGAGGGGUAAGCGGAAUUCCUGGUGUAGCGGUGAAAUGCGCAGAUAUCAGGAGGAACACCAGUGGCGGAGGCGGCUUACUGGACGGUCACUGACGCUGAGGCUCGAAAGCGUGGGGAGCAAACAGGAUUAGAUACCCUAGUAGU